UCGAGGGUCUUGACAGCACGUUGAAUGCACCAGUUCUCCAUGGAUCACUGGAGGUAAGCAACGUUGCAUGUGGUUAAUACCCGGAUGGGUGACCAUCUAGACAAUCGCGUGCUGCUGGUU
rnacentral:rRNA from 1 species